AGGCCUGUAGCUCCAACUGGCUAGAGCGGCGGUCUCCAAAACCGUUUGUUGGGGGUUCAAAUCCCUCCAGGCCUGCCA
rnacentral:tRNA from 2 species